rnacentral:rRNA from 1 species
UACGUAGGAGACUAGCGUUGUCCGGAAUUAUUGGGCGUAAAGAGCUCGUAGGUGGCGUGUCGCGUCUGCCGUGAAAGCCCAUGGCUUAACUGUGGGUCUGCGGUGGAUACGGGCAGGCUGGAGGCUGGUAGGGGCAAGCGGAAUUCCUGGUGUAGCGGUGAAAUGCGCAGAUAUCAGGAGGAACACCGGUGGCGAAGGCGGCUUGCUGGGCCAGUUCUGACGCUGGAGGAGCGAAAGCGUGGGGAGCGAACAGG